rnacentral:rRNA from 1 species
AAUAGAUACCCCGGUAGUCCUAGCCGUAAACGAUGGACACUAGGUGUUGGUGGUAUCAACCCCACCAGUGCCGUAGCUAACGCAUUAAGUGUCCCGCCUGGGGAGUACGGCCGCAAGGCUAAAGCUCAAAGGAAUUGACGGGGGGCCCGCACAAGCAGCGGAGCGUGGGGUUUAAUUCGACGCAACGCGAAGAACCUUACCAGGGCUUGACAUGACCAGGGAUCCGGCGGAAACGUCGGCGCCCCGCAAGGGGCCUGGCCACAGGUGUUGCAUGGCUGUCGUCAGCUCGUGUCGUGAGAUGUUAGGUUAAGUCCCGCAACGAGCGCAACCCCUACUGUGUGUUGUAUCACUCACACGGGACUGCCGAGAGAAACUCGGAGGAAGGGUGGGGAUGACGUCAAGUCAGCAUGGCCCUUACGUCCUGGGCUACACCCACGCUACAAUGGCCGGUACGAACGGGCUGCGAAACCGCGAGGUGGAGCCAAUCCCUUAAAGCCGGUCUCAGUUCGGAUCGCAGGCUGCAACUCGCCUGCGUGAAGCCGGAGUU